GGCGGCGUGCUUAACACAUGCAAGUCGAACGGAAAGGCCCUGCUUUUGUGGGGUGCUCGAGUGGCGAACGGGUGAGUAACACGUGAGUAACCUGCCCUUGACUUUGGGAUAACUUCAGGAAACUGGGGCUAAUACCGGAUAGGAGCUCCUGUUGCAUGGUGGGGGUUGGAAAGUUUCGGCGGUUGGGGAUGGACUCGCGGCUUAUCAGCUUGUUGGUGGGGUAGUGGCUUACCAAGGCUUUGACGGGUAGCCGGCCUGAGAGGGUGACCGGCCACAUUGGGACUGAGAUACGGCCCAGACUCCUACGGGAGGCAGCAGUGGGGAAUAUUGCACAAUGGGCGGAAGCCUGAUGCAGCAACGCCGCGUGCGGGAUGACGGCCUUCGGGUUGUAAACCGCUUUCGCCUGUGACGAAGCGUGAGUGACGGUAAUGGGUAAAGAAGCACCGGCUAACUACGUGCCAGCAGCCGCGGUGAUACGUAGGGUGCGAGCGUUGUCCGGAUUUAUUGGGCGUAAAGGGCUCGUAGGUGGUUGAUCGCGUCGGAAGUGUAAUCUUGGGGCUUAACCCUGAGCGUGCUUUCGAUACGGGUUGACUUGAGGAAGGUAGGGGAGAAUGGAAUUCCUGGUGGAGCGGUGGAAUGCGCAGAUAUCAGGAGGAACACCAGUGGCGAAGGCGGUUCUCUGGGCCUUUCCUGACGCUGAGGAGCGAAAGCGUGGGGAGCGAACAGGCUUAGAUACCCUGGUAGUCCACGCUGUAAACGGUGGGUACUAGGUGUGGGGUCCAUUCCACGGGUUCCGUGCCGUAGCUAACGCUUUAAGUACCCCGCCUGGGGAGUACGGCCGCAAGGCUAAAACUCAAAGGAAUUGACGGGGCCCCGCACAAGCGGCGGAGCAUGCGGAUUAAUUCGAUGCAACGCGUAGAACCUUACCUGGGUUUGACAUGGAUCGGGAGCGCUCAGAGAUGGGUGUGCCUCUUUUGGGGUCGGUUCACAGGUGGUGCAUGGCUGUCGUCAGCUCGUGUCGUGAGAUGUUGGGUUAAGUCCCGCAACGAGCGCAACCCUUGUUCACUGUUGCCAGCACGUUAUGGUGGGGACUCAGUGGAGACCGCCGGGGUCAACUCGGAGGAAGGUGGGGAUGACGUCAAGUCAUCAUGCCCCUUAUGUCCAGGGCUUCACGCAUGCUACAAUGGCUGGUACAGAGAGUGGCGAGCCUGUGAGGGUGAGCGAAUCUCGGAAAGCCGGUCUCAGUUCGGAUUGGGGUCUGCAACUCGACCUCAUGAAGUCGGAGUCGCUAGUAAUCGCAGAUCAGCAACGCUGCGGUGAAUACGUUCCCGGGGCUUGUACACACCGCCCGUCAAGUCAUGAAAGUUGGUAACACCCGAAGCCGGUGGCCUAACCGUCGUGGGGGAGCCGUCGAAGGUGGGACUGGUGAUUAGGACU
rnacentral:rRNA from 1 species